AAACUUUUCCCGCCAACUAUCUUCUUCUUAAACAACUUCUGUUGCACUCUCCCGAUAUCUAAACAGUCUCUAACUUCCUUCUAAUUGUUACUAGGUUUCGUCUAAUACCUAGUCUAAUAUGUAACAAAAUUCCUUUCAAUUUUCCUUAUCACUUGAUUGCUAUUUCACCCAUUUUUAUAAAUUUUAAAGAGUGGAUGAAAUUCCAUCACAUUUGUAUCAUUAUUUUAAUUUGCCAGUAAUCAUUAGUCCAUACCUAUAUUACGUGAUAUCUAAGUUGAAGAUAGUGCUAUCUAUGACUAAUGUAGACAAUCUAAGUGCAUCAAA
rnacentral:misc_RNA from 1 species